rnacentral:rRNA from 1 species
AUUGAACGCUGGCGGCAGGCCUAACACAUGCAAGUCGAACGAGUGGCGGACGGGUGAGUAAUGUCUGGGAAACUGCCCGAUGGAGGGGGAUGACUGCUAGAAACGGUAGCUAAUACCCGAUAACAUCGUAUGUGCUCAGAUGGGAUUAGAUAGUAGGGGGGGUAACGGCUCACCUAGGCGACGAUCCCUAGCUGGUCUGAGAGGAUGACCAGCCACACGGGAAGUGAGACACGGUCCAGACACCUACGGGAGGCAGCAGUGGGGAAUAUGGCACAAUGGGCGCAAGCCUGAUGCAGCCGUGCCGCGUGUAUGAAGAAGGCCUUCGGGUUGUAAAGUACUUUCAGCGAGGAGGCGUUACUCGCAGAAGAAGCACCGGCUAACUCCGUGCCAGCAGCCGCGGUAAUUC